GAUCCUGGCUCAGGAUGAACGCUAGCUACAGGCUUAACACAUGCAAGUCGAGGGGCAGCAUGAACUUAGCUUGCUAAGUUUGAUGGCGACCGGCGCACGGGUGAGUAACACGUACCCAACCUGCCGAUGACUCGGGGAUAGCCUUUCGAAAGAAAGAUUAAUACCCGAUGGCAUAGUUCUUCCGCAUGGUAGAACUAUUAAAGAAUUUCGGUCAUCGAUGGGGAUGCGUUCCAUUAGGUUGUUGGG
rnacentral:rRNA from 1 species